UCUGGUAUAUGAUGACUGUUUUACAAUGGGAAUCUCUCUGAAAUAUUAUGGAGAUAUGUAAUUCUGAAACUGGA